UCUACGAAGAUUGCAUGCGUUUGCUGCUGUUGACUAUAAGUAUAGCGGACUAGCAGACCUGCGAUAAUUAUCAUUGUAUUUCCAACUGACUUUUAAAAGGAGGAGGCUCUCCAUCCGGCUGAUUUAAUUUAACGAGAUAACGACAAACCCAAAAAGAUAGAGUUAUGAUUUUAACAGUUUUUGUGUGCAUGUCUUUGAUGUGUCUAAAGAAUAAAUUACUCUUGAUGAAUUGGAGCUGCUCCUAAAAAACAUUACACCGUCAAUGUUUACUUAUAAGUAUUAUGAUGAUAGCUUUAUAGUCGUUCGUAAGAUAUUAGCAUGCUGGUAUAACCUGUAAAGUACUAAUAGCAGAAUAAGCAACCAAUUGCCACCUACCACGUAAAAACACUAUACUUAUUCUUGACAAAUAAAUACUGUAGUUAGGUAGAUACUUUGUUAAUUAUAUUCCAUAUCUGAUCAUUAGAUUUAUUUGUUGAAAUUUGUUGAAAAAGAGGACCUGUUCUAGUGCUCAUUAAGAUCGUAUAAUGAUCAACGGAACUCCAUAAUAAACCAAUUUACCUAUCCUAGUCAUGUUUGGAACAAUUGAAAUAAGAUGCACAAGUAUAUGUGAGUAAUAAAUGAUUUCAAAGGUAUUUUCACUACUCUUAAGUUAUUAUUAUUAUUAUACUUGUUGUAUUCCGAGGUUAUAAGCAUUAUUUGUUAUAAGUUAACUAUAGUCGAGCACGACGUUCUAAUAUUUAGAAUUAAUGGUUUCGUAGCCAAAAUGGCAAUAAAGAUCCAUCCGUCCGUCCGUCCGCCCGUUCGUCCGUCCGUCCGUCCGUUCGUUCGUCGGGGGUCCGUCCGUCCGUCCGUCCGUUCGUUCGUCGGGGGUCCGUCCGUCCGUCCGUCCGUUCGUUCGUCGGCCGUCCGUCCGUCCGUCCGUCCGUUCGUUCGUCGGCCGUCCGUCCGUCCGUCCGUUCCCAGCUGUCCGUCCUUUGUCUGUCCGUCCGUCCGUCCGUCUGUCUGUCUGUUUGUCUAUUUGUAUGUUAGAGCCAUUAGACUAGGAGUGUAUAUAGGUAUAAUAAUGAUAAUGACAUUUAGGAUGUAGGUAGUAAAAACGUAUAAGCUACUCUUUUUUACAGAGGCAACCAGGCGUACGGCCCGGCCCGUCCGAUAGUUUAGUUUAGUUUAUUCAUAUCACAUACUUACAGGUUUCAUUUUAUUAAAUUAGCUUAACCGUUAUAAAACGAUUGUUUAGAUACUUAUGCAAAGUAAGAUCCAGAAGAAGAAAAUGAAAAAUGAAUUACUAGUUUUGAAUUUUGACAAAGUAUUUAUAUAAGCACCAGGUUUUAGUAAUGUUACAGCAAGUCGGCAAUCUACGACGGUCGCUUAGCUUACGAGUAGUUGCUGGUGAUUCUACCCACAAAACUGCAAAUCCCGGGUUCGAUUCCCGAUAAGGGCAUUUAUUAGCAUGAUGAACACGGAUAUCUUUAUUUGUGUAUGUAAGCCCAUACAAGCUUUUAUUUAACUUGCUCUGUUAGUAUGUAAGUUUGUUAGUUAGGGUGGGUCAAAUCUUGGAAACUAAAAUUGACCCACUUCCCGAUUCCCGAUUAAGCUGAAGAUUUGCAUACAUAAUAACAUAUAAGUCGGGUGACAAUGCAAUAUUAUGGUACCAUCGAGCUGAUCUGAUGACGGAUACAGGAGGUGGCCAUAGAAACUCUGUGAUGAAACAACGGAACUAUAUUGUGUUUGGGGUUUUUAGAAUUAUCUCGAUGAGUAUUUAGUUACCUAUGGUAAGAAAAGUACAGUCAGCGACAAAGGUUUGUACCCAAAAAGGAUAAAAACUUUUUUUUUGGCAAAAACUUACCUAUUUAUAAAACAGUUUCGUUACUUAUAUACUGACAGACAACACAUACAGCUUAAUAAAUCGUUGAAGUUAAAACUAUGAAAUUUAAAACAUUACAUAUAUAGUACAAAUGGUGUAGAGGUGCCCUAAGGUAGGAUUUUCUGAAAUUUAACCCUUAAGGGGUAAAAAGGGGCUUAAGUUAUUUAAGUUAUCUUUAAUUAUGUGAGUGUAUUUUUCAGUUAAUAUAUAAGUGAUUGUGACUGAUAAUGUUUUUUAUUUUCAUAACUGCAAAUCUGCUUUCAACUGGCCUGGAUAUACAAGGAGACAAAUCAUGAAUGGACCAGAGCAACCAUGUUGAGCUACCUUCUUAUAAUAAUUAAGAAGUGGAGGGCGAUCCUUAUUUUAACAGUCGGAAACUUAUGCCUGACGAAACCGAGACGUUAUAUAAAAUGCAUUUAUGACGAAAAGCUCUUCAUUAGUUUGGCUACGGCGGUGAUCAGGUGUCAUCGGAGCGAUGUUGUCAAAUUGAAACGGAGAUAAUUUAUAAUUAUAUUGGUGACAAUAUUGGCUUGUUUUUAUUUUGUAAGUAGGUGUGUAGUUUUAACCUAAAUACUUAUUUAAAUAAUCUUCAGAGUGGUACUGUCAGCAUCUAUCAUAGUGGAUAAAACAACGCGCCAAAAGUAUCUGCCACCAUCGAACACUUUUCCAAUAUAUCUGUACAGUUCGCGUUCAAAAGUAUUUUGUCGCAGUUGAUUUUUUAGGGUUCCGUACCCAAAGGGUAAAGCGGGACCCUAUUACUUAGACUCCGCUGUCCGGCCGUCCGUCCGUCUGUUCGUCCGUCUGUCCGUCUGUCCGUCCGUCCGCCCGUCUGUCCGUCCGUCCGUCCGUCCAUCUGUGCGUCCUUCCGUCCGCCCGUCCGUCUGUCCGUCCGUCCGUCUGUCCGUCUGUCCGUCCGUGCGUCUGUCUGUCUGUCCGUCCGUCCGUCUGUCACCAGGCUGUAUCUCAUGAACCGUGAUAGUGAGAAAGUUGAAAUUUGCACAGAUAAUGUAUUUCUGUUGCCGCUAUAGCAACAUAUACCUACUAAAAAACAAAAUUAAAUAAAUAUUUAAGGGGCCUCCCAUACAACAAACAUAUUUUUUUGCCGUUUUAUAGAUAAUUGUACGGAACCCUUCGUAGAGUCCAACCCGCACUUGGCCGGUUUUUUGUGUAUAGAGACGUAUCUCUUUAGGUUAAGUUAUAUGUAAAGCAUUUGUGAUACACCAGCGAUGGUUCUUAGAUGGUUGUGAGGUGACAUUGUUGUAAUUAUCACUGUUUUUUUUUAAUUUAAACUUAUAGUACUUAGUAUUAGCUUCUUAAAGACUACACAUGCGUAGGCAUGUAUGUCCAAUGUGUGUAUGAAUGUAUGUAGAAUGAUAGCUACUUUUGAUGCUGACUAUACGUAUAAGUAGCGGCUGUAGAGUUCGGAACAUUUGACUAGGUAUAUCUAAUAAGUGUAAUGUUAAAUGUAAAUCCCUACUAAUAUUAUAAAUGCGAUUAGUAUCUAACUCUGAUUCAAAUGAAGUUCAAUUCAGGGAGUCCUCGGAGAUAGGAUGUAGGUUAGUUUUAUCCUGAAAUCCUGGCUACAGGAGAUGAGAAGGGAAUAUUGGAUCGCGUACGCAAUACAUAUUUUUAACGAACUACCUCUUAGCCAAUUUGAAACAUUGCAAAAAAAACCCUUUCAUUAUAAUAAGUACCUAAUUAUGUUACUAAUAAAUAAAUAAAUAAAUAAAUAUUAUAGGACAUUAUUACACAAAUUGACUAAGUCCCUCAGUAAGCUCAAUAAGGCUUGUGUUGUAGGUACCUAGGCUUGUGUUGUAGGUACUAAUUAAGCCUUAUUUAUAUCUAUUGAUUUUGUAUCAUAAUGUAAAGCGAAGUAUUUGCCGUGCACGUAGGUAUGUACGAGUAUGGAAUCAUAUCGUUAAGUAUGUAUGUGUGUUCGUAUAUUACAUGUGACGAAGAUGUUGAUAUUUGUAAGAAGGAUCCCUACAAACUACUUUAAACUGAGACGAAGACUAAGCCUAAUUUAAGCCUAAGCGACCCUAUCUAAGAAGUAGGCGGUCCCAGGUUCGAAUCCUGGUAAGAAAAUAUAGAUGUUACAAUCCACUUACUGCACCACUUAGCAGAAUUGAAACUAAGAUAACUGUUUGUAGCCUUUUGGAUAGAAACCCUGGCUAAGAGAAAAGCGACUCUGGGUUCGAAUCCUUGUUAGAAAACUAAUUUAUAUGUGGAGACUUGAGAGGUUUUUAUUGGACGUACUUUCGCCACUCUUAGAAAUUAAAUAAACUUCGAAAAUUUAAUCAGUGUGAAUAAAAAAGUAUACAUAAUAUAUACUGAAUAGGCAUUCUUCGCAAACUGAAUAGAAUUGACCAGAAUAGGUUUUUUUACUGAUCAUGUAAACUUGACAAAGUUAUCUUAUUAAACACGUCCAUAUGUUGCUUAUGCAUGUAUGUAUGUAGUUGCGCUUUUGAUUUAACUCCCGUCUUCCAUUACGAUGGUACAAAAUACAAACGGUAAGCUUUACAUAAUAUGGAUACCCGUUAUCAAAAUUCUAAAUAGCCCCACAAGUGGGUUGGUCUAAUAGCAUUUUGCGAGUCGCAUUCCAAGUUACAGUGGUAUAUAGGUAUACAAGGAAACAAUACCAAAGGUAUUAGAUGUAAAAAAUAUAUAUUAGGGCAUUACCUUACAACUUCCUAAAGUGGAGAUGAGUUUGUUCUUGUCGAUCACACGGUCUCAAGUAUCAUUGUGUAGGUAAUCCAUUUCCCGCCCAGGAGCCUAAAGUAUAAUUGAGUGCUAGUCAAAGUUUAGAACUCAGAAUUAAAAAAGGUUUCUUUCUCUCGAAAAGGCGUCGCCAUUGUUUAAUAUCUAUUUCAUUUUGUUUAUUUUUUUACGAUAAUCUACACACUUCUACCAUUCUUACUAUAUAUAUUAUAAAUAUUAUAAAUGCGAUAAUAACUCAUAUCACUCGUCUUGCUUAUGGAAAAAAUCCAGAAAGCGUUUCUGCGAUUCUUAUAUAAAAAGGUUUACGGGUAUUACCCAUAUUUGUACCCAUCAAAGUUCCUGCUUGGCGUUUUAGGGUUUAAUUCCUUAGAGGUGAGAUGUAACUACAGGCUAUUGACUACUGUAUGUAACGUCUUACGGUGGAACUCAGACUGGCCUGAACUGGUUGCACAGCUCGUACGCCUGUUCGUUCCAUCUGUGGCUAAGGCCCAAUUUAAUUUCCGACCACGAAUUCGUCACCUAUUAGCGGUGCCUAAAACACGCACUAUGUCCCAUGGCAAAUCACCACUUGUCCGCGCUCUACAAUAUAUCGCGCUCCUCGCAUCAGCACCGGAAUGUAAUGUAUUUGCAAGUAGUAGGAUGGAUAUGUGUAAAGAAUGUAUGAAGUUCUGUGAGACGAUGGAUAAGCGAGAAUCUUCUGUUUUUUAUUUGUUUUUCUUUCUUACAUUUGUUCUCUUUUUCCUUUCUAGACUGUAUCAUGUACCUAGUUUGUAUACAUACUGUCUAUUAAAAAUUUCACAGUGUAUUAGUUUGCUGUAAUGCUGUGUAAAUUUUUUGAAUCAAUAAAAUAAAAAAUAAACUCUGUGUAAAA